CCGCCAGGCGCCUUCUCAGCCGAGCGGUGGCGGGAGCGCAGCGCUGCGCGGCGGAGCGGGCGCGGGGCGCGGGGCGCGGAGCCCGCAGACAGCGCGGCCGGCCCGGUCCUGCGCGGCCACCUGCCCGAGCCCUGCGAGGACGGCGCGUCCCGCCCGCAGACCCCGCGAUGCCGAGCGGCGCUGCCUGGGCGCUGCUGCUGGCCGCGGCGCUGGGGCUCGGGGCGCGCGGGGUGCGCGGCGCCGUGGCUCUCGCCGACUUCUACCCGUUCGGCGCCGAGCGCGGCGACUCCGUCACCCCAAAGCAGGACGACGGCGGCUCGGGGCUGCGGCCACUCUCGGUGCCCUUCCCGUUCUUCGGCGCCGAGCACUCCGGACUCUACGUGAACAACAAUGGCAUCAUCUCCUUCCUGAAGGAGGUCUCUCAGUUCACGCCCGUGGCCUUUCCCAUCGCCAAGGACCGCUGUGUGGUGGCGGCCUUCUGGGCAGAUGUGGACAACCGGCGUGCGGGCGACGUCUACUACCGGGAGGCCACUGACGCCGCCACGCUGCACAGAGCCUCGGAGGACGUCCGACGCUAUUUCCCCGAGCUCCCAGACUUCUCUGCCACCUGGGUGUUCAUCGCCACGUGGUAUCGGGUGACCUUCUUUGGAGGCAGCUCUUCUUCUCCUGUCAACACCUUCCAGACAGUGCUGAUCACCAACGGCAAGUCCUCCUUCACCAUCUUCAACUACGAGUCCAUCUCAUGGACCACGGGCACACAUGCCAGCAGCGGGGGCAACUCUGCUGGCCUGGGGGGCAUUGCAGCCCAGGCAGGCUUCAACGCGGGUGACGGGAGGCGCUACUUCAACAUCCCGGGCUCGCGUACCGCGGACAUGGCAGAGGUGGAGACCACCACCAACGUGGGCGUGCCCGGGCGCUGGGCGUUCAGAAUCGAUGAUGCCCAGGUGCGCGUGGGGGGCUGCGGCCAUACAACCUCCGUGUGCCUGGCCCUGCGGCCCUGCCUCAACGGCGGCGAGUGCAUCGACGACUGCGUCACCGGCAACCCCUCCUACUCCUGCUCCUGCCUGGCAGGCUUCACAGGGCGCAGGUGCCAGCUGGAUGUGAAUGAGUGUGCAUCACACCCGUGUCAGAAUGGCGGGACCUGUACCCAUGGUGUCAACAGCUUCAGUUGUGAGUGCCCAGCCGGCUUCAGGGGACCCACCUGUGAGUCAGCCCAGUCCCCAUGUGAUGCCACAGAGUGUCAGAAUGGUGGCCAGUGCCGGGCAGAGGGUGGCUCUGCAGUGUGUGUGUGCCAGGCCGGGUACACGGGGACCACCUGCGAGACAGACGUGGACGAGUGUGACUCUGACCCCUGCCUGAACGGAGGGUCGUGUGUCGACCUGGUGGGGAGCUUCGCCUGCGUGUGUGUGGAGCCCUUCGGGGGACCUCGCUGCGAGACAGGAAGUCAUUCAGUGCCUGAUGCCUGCCUCUCUGCCCCUUGCCAGAACGGGGGCACCUGUGUGGAUGCGGAGCAGGGCUACGUGUGCGAGUGCCCCGAAGGCUUCAUGGGCCUGGACUGCAGGGAGAGAAUCCCCAGGGACUGUGAGUGCCGGAAUGGAGGCAGGUGCCUGGGCACCAACACCACGGUCUGCCAGUGCCCCCCGGGCUUCUUUGGGCUCCUGUGUGAAUUUGCAGGGUCGCUGGGUCUCAGGCAGCCCCACCCUUGUCAAGGACCUGAGGUCCCCAGGAAGACAGGCCCAUAUGGGAGCCGCCUCUUACUCUCUGCAGAAGUCACAGCCACGCCCUGCAACAUGAACACCCAGUGCCCAGACGGGGGCUACUGCAUGGAGUACGGUGGGAGCUACCUGUGUGUCUGCCACACGGACCACAACGUCAGCCACUCCCUGCCGUCGCCCUGUGACUCCGACCCUUGCUUCAACGGAGGUUCCUGUGAUGCCCAGGACGACUCCUACACGUGCGAGUGCCCACGCGGGUUCCACGGCAGGCAUUGCGAGAAAGCCCGGCCACACCUGUGCAGCUCGGGGCCCUGUCGGAACGGGGGCACGUGCAAGGAGGCAGGUGGAGAAUACCACUGCAGCUGCCCCUACCGCUUCACCGGGAGGCACUGUGAGAUCGGGAAGCCAGACUCAUGUGCCUCGGGCCCCUGUCACAAUGGCGGUACCUGCUUCCACUACAUUGGCAAAUACAAGUGUGACUGUCCCCCAGGCUUCUCCGGGCGGCACUGUGAGAUAGCCCCCUCCCCCUGCUUCCGGAGCCCAUGUGUAAACGGGGGCACCUGUGAGGAUCUAGGCACAGAUUUUUCCUGUCACUGCCAAGCAGGGUACACAGGACACCGGUGCCAGGCAGAGGUGGACUGCGGCCACCCAGAAGAGGUGCAGCAUGCCACCAUGCACUUCAACGGGACUCGCUUGGGCUCGGUGGCCUUGUACACAUGUGACCCUGGCUACAGCCUGAGUGUCCCCAGCCACGCCCGCAUCUGCUUGCCCCAAGGUGUCUGGAGCCAGCUUCCCCAGUGCUUAGAAGUGGACGAGUGUCGGUCUCAGCCAUGCCAGCAUGGGGGCUCCUGCCAGGACCACGUUGCUGGGUACCAGUGCCUCUGCAGCAGAGGCUAUGAGGGAGUCCACUGCGAACUGGAGACGGACGCGUGCAGAGCACAGCCCUGCAGCAACGGGGGCUCCUGCAGGGCCCUCCCUGGCUCUUUCCUCUGCCAGUGCCCCGCAGGCUUCACUGGCGUGCACUGUGAGACAGAGGUGGACGCCUGUGACUCCAGCCCCUGCCAGCAUGGAGGGCGGUGUGAGGACGGAGGUGGGGCCUACCUGUGCGUCUGCCCCGAGGGCUUCUUCGGUUACCACUGUGAGACAGUGAGCGACCCCUGCUUCUCUAGCCCCUGUGGGGGCCGUGGCUACUGCCUGGCCAGCAAUGGGUCCCACAGCUGCACCUGCAAAGUGGGCUUCACAGGCAAGGACUGUGCCAAAGAGCUCCUUCCACCGACGGCCCUCAGGGUGGAGAAAGUGGAGGAGAGUGGGGUUUCCAUCUCCUGGAGCCCACCUGAGGGCCCUGCCGCCAGGCAGGUGCUCGAUGGCUACGCGGUCACUUAUGUCUCCUCUGAUGGCUCCUACCGCCGCACGGACUUUGUGGACAGGAGCCGCUCCUCACACCAGCUGAGGGCUCUGGCAGCUGGCCGGGUCUACAACAUCUCCGUCUUCUCCGUCAAGCGCAACACCAACAACAAGAACGACAUCAGCAGACCCGCAGCCCUGCUCACCCGCACACGCCCCCGCCCUAUUGAAGACGUAGAGGUCACCAAUGUGUCAGCUGAUGCCAUCUCGGUGCGGUGGGCUCUGCACAGGAUCCAUCACGCCACUGUCAGUGGAAUUCGAGUGUCCAUUCUUCACCCUGAGGCCACUGAAGCGCAAUCCACUCAGGUGGACAGGAGUGUGGACCAGCUUACUUUUGGGGCCCUGCUGCCAGGAAGGAGAUACACUGUGUGGGUGGCCGCCCUCAGUGGACCCGGGGGAGCGGACCCUCCUACAGAGAGCCUGGCCUCUGUGCCACUGCACGUGUGGACGCGUCCCUUGCCUCCAGCAAACCUGACAGCUGCCCGAGUCACAGCCACCUCUGCCCAUGUGGUCUGGGACAUACCCACUCCAGGCACAUUGCUGGAGGCCUAUGUCAUCAACGUGACCACAGGCCAGAGCACCAAGAGCCGCUACGUGCCCAACGGGAAGCUGGUGUCCUACACCGUUCGGGAUCUGCUGCCAGGACGGCGGUACCAGCUCUCGGUGACGGCUGUGCAGAGCAGUGAACAGGGCCAGCUGCACAGCCGGCCGGCCCACCUCUACAUCAUCACCUCAGGGCCAGAAGCAGAGGGUGGUGUGGCCACUCCCCUUCCUCCCACCUGCUCUGCAGCCCCCAGAGAUGGCGCUGACAGACGCUGGCACCAGGCAGGACAUCACCCGCGGGUGCUCAGGAACAGACCGCCCCCGGCGCGCCUGCCGGAGCUGCGCCUGCUCAAUACCCACGGCGCCCCAGGAACACCGCCCCCACCCCAGAGCUUCUCAGAGCUUGUGGAUGGAAGAAGAAGAGUGAGUGCCAGGUUCGGGGGCCUGCCCAGCACAUCAGCCCCCGAGAGGCCACAACCCACCACCCCAGUGCCACUCGCGAGCACAGAAGAGGCCCCACAGCAGACCCGCCUGGCCCUCCAGCAGCUCCCUAAGGACGGUGACAAGGAUGCUGGAAACCUACAACUCACCUGACUGUCCGACUGUAAAGUACAAAUCAGAACAGGCACAGUGGCACACACCUGUAAUUGCUGUGGCUCAGGAGGCUGAGGCAGGAGGAUCACAAGUUGCCCCCUGCUGCCAACCAACUGUGCGUGCAUGCAGGUCCAUUCUGGCCUGGCUCCUCUGGUCCACUUUGAGCCGACCCACCUGUUAACACUGGAACCUUGAGUCUGACUUGCUGGGCCACAGGGCCAGUCUUCCCACCUUGACCUCGGAAAGAGCCGCAGCUGUUCCUGGUCCUUUGUGUGUCAGCUGGUCAUGGUCCACAAAGCACUUGUUGGGAAUUCUGAGACCAUGUGUGCCUACGAAAACUCUCAUGAGCCCCCACAUGUGAAGUGCACAGUAGCUGGAAGUGGAGUCCCACAUCAUGGCUCCCUCUCCACGGCCACCCCAGGCCCAGUCUGUUGUCUCUGGUGCCCAUCGUGGUCCUGUUUCCUUGCAAGACAAUUUGCUCCUUCUCUCUAGAAGCUGUUAGACUGAUUUCUCAAGAAAGGAGGCGCCCAGAGAGCCGCCACCCCCAGAGCGCAGUGAGCACUGCCACUGCCAGGUGUGCCCUGGCCAAGUGACCGUCCAGGCAGGGCUGCACCUGCAAGCCCAGAGGGAGCCUCACUGGGAGAAGGGGAGUCCCAAGGUCAGCACCAGCCAUCCCAGGGGUCUGUGGGUCAGAGGUGAAGGAGCGCCACGGCUGUCCUCCACCCCCGCCAACUCCACUCCAGGGGGGCUUCUGGGCUGCUCUGGUUUUAUCACCACGGACACUAUUCCAAUGGUCUGAGUAGAUGCCACCAAAAGGACCAGCCGGCACUGUCCCUAGGUGACACAGGCAAGGGCAGGGACUGACCUGCUCUGCUUGGCCACCUGUCUUCCCGGCCCCAGGGUGCAGCCACAGCGCUCUCUAUCCGGUUCAAACAGCCUUCUCCCUGUCUGUGCGUGAGACAGUACACUCAGGAUGUCGCGGGGACAGCCAAGGAGACAGGCGGCAGUGGGCAGCUCUGGCUCCGCAGACUGCAGAGCUGGGUCCCAUUAGUCCACAGAAGGCACAAGGGCCACCUGGUCUCUGUAGUCACAGCUGUCCCAUUCUAGAGGGUCAGGAAUGAUGACUGUAUGAUUUGGAUAUGAAGUGUCCCUCGAAAGCUCAUAUGAGACAAUGCAGGAAUGUUUCCAGGUGAGAUGAUUAGAUUGUGAGUGCCAGAAGCUCGUCAGUGGAUUAACCUGUUUGAGGGAUUAACAAUCUGAAUGGACUCUUGGGUGUGGCUGGAGGAAGCAGGUCACCGGGGUGUGCCUCAGAAACUGUACCUUGGGCCUGGCUCCCCUUCUCUCUAUUCCCCGGCUCUGCCGCUUGCUGAGCAGCUUUCCUCCACCGUGCCCUGCAGCCAUCACGUUCUGCCUCACCUCAGGCCAGAGCAAAGGAGUCGGCCAACCACAGACUGACCUUCUGAAACCGUGAGCCAAAAUGCACUUCUUUACCUCCUCUGAGUUGUUUCUAUCAGGUAUUUUGGUCUCGGCAAUGAAAACCUGACUCACACAAUGGCACAAGCUUGUGGAUUCUCAAUACCCUACAUAUUGCUAUAUUCUGUAGGGCUGGUGUAAAAUUUCUCUAGACAAUUGUUUAUAGUGUCCAAAAUUCAAAUGGAAUUGCAAUUGCAAGGGGACCAGGAGAGAAAAAGAGGAAAAGAGGAGAGAGAGAGAGAGAGAGAGAGAGAGAGAGAGAGAGAGAGAAGAAAGAAAGAAAGAAAGAAAGAAAGAAAGAAAGAAAGAAAGAAAAAGAAAAAUCUGAAAAAGAUUUAAAAAGUAGGAGGAUUCAUAAUUUCCAGAGUCGAAGCUGACUGAAUCCACAAGAAUCAGGGCAGUGUGGUCCUGCUCAGGGUGAGCAUGUAGACAGUGCUCACGUGAGGUGCCACGUCCAGUCACACAGGACAGAGCCCGCAUGUCAGGGCUGAAAUCAAAACUCUUAGUAGAGGGAAGGGAGUGGGGUGGGGGAGGAGGGAGGAAAAGGGGAGAAGCUAGGGAUGGAUCAGAACAAAUCGCAGUCCACAUCUUCAUAAUCAUGUCAAAAUGAACCCUGACGUUAUGUAAACUAAAAGAGCCAAUAAAAAGAAAAACAUCAAAACUCUUAGAAGAAAACACAGGAGUGAAUCUUCACCUUGGUUCUGGCAGAGGAUUCUUAGAUAAAACACCAAACAUACGAGCAAUAAAGGAAAAAAGGAAAAUGGAACUUCAUCAAAACUUCAAUACUUUUGUGCUUCAAAGGUCACCGUCAAGAAAGUGAAAAGACAACUCAAGAAUGGGUGGAAAUACUUGCAGAUCACACAUCUGGUAACGGACUUCUAUCUACAAUACAUAAAGAGCUCAGUUUAAAAGCAAGCAAAGAAAAUGAAUGAACAUUUCUCCAAGGAAUACACACGAAUGGUCAGUGAGCACAGAAAAGACACCUGGUGUCACUCGUCAUCAGGGAGACGCACAGUGAGAGGCUGCUGCCCCAGGAGGGCCAGCACGGGGGUGGUGGGGCUCAGAGACAUGGUCCCUGCCACUGCACUGGAGGCAAGGGCUGCAGCUCUGAGGGGCUGACUGGCAGUUCCUCGAAGGAGUGGAUCUAAAGCCACCACAGGGCCAGAAGCCCACUGGUAGCUGCACCCAAGAGAAAUGAACACUGUGCACAGGAGGCCUCGCAAAAUGAACACUGUGCCCAGGAGGCCUCGCACAUGGACAUCCACAGCAGCAUCAGCAGCACCACCAAGGGCAGAGAGGCCAACACCUGCCCACGGCUGGAGGGGACCCCACCACCACCUCCAGUCAGUGGGACAGGGACGUGAGGCAUGCAGCGCUGCCACACGCCACCACAUGGGGAGCCUCCAAACACACCCAGGGAGAGGAGCCAGCCACCAUGACCACGUGCAGAACGAGCCCACGGGCGCCUUGGAGAGAGAACGCACCUAGGGGCUGCUCAGGAGGGAAGGCGGGGGUGACCGCUGAAGGCCACGCCUUCUGUCUGAGGGGAACUGAUGGCAACAUGGAGCAGUGGGGCGCCUGGGGUCGUCUCAUUGGAGCUGCUCUUAAAGCCACAGGCAGCACAGUGCCUUUGGCGUGCUCUGUCGUGUGGAAUUAAGAGGAAAUACAAAUACGUUUCUAUUAUGUUUAAAAAGAAAAUGGAGACAGAGGGUGAGCUACUCACGGACGGACAGAGCAGGAGAAGAGAAUGGAGGCAGAGGCUGGUCUUCUCUGGAAAUAUCAACCUUGUUUAUAGUUUUCACUUCAGAACCCAGAAAAAUAUUUUUAAACAAUGAAAAGACAGGGCAAUACUUAAGAACUGGAAACAGUGAUCCUGCCAUGCAAUGCCACGCUGAAGGGUGUGCUCUGCCCUGGUGUGGGCGGUAAGCCCACUGCAUGGGCAAAACAGUCACAGCACACGCGGGGUAAAGAAAGGGCCCAUGUCCGUGCGGCUGAGAGCUUUAGUGUAAGAUCAUAAAACUAAGAGGUUGAUGCCAAGCACGGUGGCACACCUGUGAUCCCAGCAACUCAGGAGGCCAGCCUCAGCAAUUCAGCAAGACUAUAAGCAACUUAGUGAGGACCUAUCUCAAAAUAAAAAAUAAAAAGGCCUGGGGAUGUGGCUCAGUCGUUAAGCACCCCUGAGUCCCAUGCCAAGAACCAAAACAAGAGAAAACAAAAAAAUAAACUAGGAGGUUAAAAAUGCUGUUUGAUUCUGUGAACCUGAACUGGAAAUACCAAAAUAAACCCAUACUUUGUUUAUUUUUUAAAACCCUAAUUUCCUUGUUCUCUUCACUGGGAAGCUUGAGGCAGAGGCAGCUCACGAGUGGUGAUCUCUGAGAGCCGUCUCCAUGGAGGAAGGGAGGGGCUUUGGAGAAAUGAUGGCUGAUUCCAAGACUGCAGGAGAACGUGGACGAAGGGACCAGGCACAAGCUGUCAGACAGCAAGUGCACAGCAAGUCAACCGGCACUGUGCGGGGGGCCGAGAGCCAGCCUGAGAGGGCUCCUGCUGGCCCAAGAUGGGGCUUCAGCUCCAAGGAAAAGCACGCAGCACCUACUGGAAGCCUUAGGUGCACCCAGAGCCCAGUUUAUCACCCAUCUCAAGAGGACAGACCUGCCGGUCAGCCUGGGCACCUGCUGCAAGGGCAGUGCUGGCCCUGCUCACACAUACUCACAGGCCCCUUGAAGGCUGGUGCAGGCAGAGCUCUCGGGCUCAGGAGGACCUGGUCUCGGGGGAGGCUGCGUUGCCACUCAAGUGGGGCGUGGCACACGGCACGCCUCCGACAUGGCUGAGGGUGCACACGCACCCUGCAGAACUGUCCUGCCAAGGGCCUUGGAACCCAAGUGCCCUCAUGUCCUUCUCUACUAAAAGAGUUUGCGGGGUAAGGCACAGGUUAGUCCACAGGAAGCAGGUCAGACCCAGGAGGGCACCGAGGGUAAAGGGCCUAUUCUUGACAGACAGGGAAAAGACCAGGGGUACAGACGAAUACCUGACUCAUCAGGUGCAGCGGUACAGCCCUCACGAGCCGGAGCUGUCAGCCAGCUGUGAGUGGCAUGGCAAGGUGAGCACAGCCUGGGACGUCCACACUGGAGAGCUCCUGGGAACAGCGGGCACGCAGAGCGCUGCUGUCCACCUGCAGAUACAGCUGACUUGUUUACAGGAGAAAGGACACCUGCAAACUGCUCUGUGGUUCUUCAGGGUGACGAGAUGGACGUGAAGCAGGACAGGCAGAAACUGAGUGCCCAUCAGUUUGAAAAGUUCACGAUGAAGGUGUUUUUAAGCCCAAAACUCAUUUUAAGUACAUCAAGAAUGAUGAAAGGAAAGCCCAGAAGACAGUGGGGGGAAGGAAAGAAGGCUGAGUGGAUCCAGUGAGGAUGGAGGGGUGAGGUCACUCAGAGAAGCCUUCAAGGAACAAGCUGGGAGAGGUGUCAGGUGCCCCUGGGAGCUGCUCAGAAGACACCUGUCAGAAUGGAGGCACCUGUGUGGCAGGUGCCAGUGCCAACCGCUGUGACUGUGGGCCAGGCUUCAAGGGCAGGC